rnacentral:rRNA from 1 species
AUGAACGCUGGCGGCGUGCCUAACACAUGCAAGUCGAACGGGACUAUCAAGUGAUGUUUCGGACUGAACUUUUAGUUAGUGGCGGACGGGUGAGUAACGCGUGGACAACCUGCCUCUCACUGGGGGAUAGCAGCUGGAAACGGCUGGUAAUACCGCAUGCGUUCAAUGUGCCGCAUGACACAUUGAAGAAAGAUUUAUCGGUGAGAGAUGGGUCCGCGUCUGAUUAGCCAGUUGGCGGGGUAACGGCCCACCAAAGCGACGAUCAGUAGCCGGCCUGAGAGGGCGGACGGCCACAUUGGGACUGAGACACGGCCCAGACUCCUACGGGAGGCAGCAGUGGGGGAUAUUGCACAAUGGGCGCAAGCCUGAUGCAGCGACGCCGCCGUGAGUGAAGAAGUAUUUCGGUAUGUAAAGCUCUAUCAGCAGGGAAGAAAGGCCCGCAAGGGAGAUGACGGUACCUGACUAAGAAGCCCCGGCUAACUACGUGCCAGCCGCUGC